GGACAGGUGGCGGAGUGGUCUAUCGCAGCGGUCUUGAAAACCGCCGCGCCGCAAGGCGCCGUGAGUUCGAAUCUCACCCUGUCCGCCA
rnacentral:tRNA from 1 species